GGAUGCCGAUCAUACCAGCACUAAAGCACCGGAUCCCAUCAGAACUCUGAAGUUAAGCGUGGUUGGGCGAGAGUAGUACUAGGAUGGGUGACCUCCUGGGAAGUCCUCGUGUUGCAUUCCC
rnacentral:rRNA from 1 species